rnacentral:rRNA from 1 species
GAUCAUGGCUCAUGAUGAACGCUAGCUACAGGCUUAACACAUGCAAGUCGGAGGGGCAGCAUGGUCUUAGCUUGCUAAGGCCGAUGGCGACCGGCGCACGGGUGAGUAACACGUAUCCAACCUGCCGUCUACUCUUGGACAGCCUUCUGAAAGGAAGAUUAAUACAAGAUGGCAUCAUGAGUUCACAUGUUCACAUGAUUAAAGGUAUUCCGGUAGACGAG